UACAGAGGUGGCAAGCGUUGUUCGGAAUUACUGGGCGUAAAGGGCGCGUAGGCGGUCUUGUCAGUCCCUUGUGAAAUCCCCCGGCUCAACUGGGGAACUGCAAGGGAAACAGCAGGGCUUGAGUUCGGGAGAGGGAAGCGGAAUUCCGGGUGUAGCGGUGAAAUGCGUAGAUAUCCGGAGGAACACCGGUGGCGAAGGCGGCUUCCUGGACCGACACUGACGCUGAGGCGCGAAAGCGUGGGGAGCGAACCGG
rnacentral:rRNA from 1 species